UCAGAAAUGCUCAGGCUAGCAUCUGCCCUGCUGAGAACCUGAUGGCCCUGGGCCCGGGACACACCGUGGACUGGAAUGUGAGGGAACAGGGUUCUCCAGCACCCCUUUCUUCCCGGUGACAAACAGACACAACAGAAGCUCACUGCCAGGAACCAGGAAAGGGAGUCCAUUAUUGCUGAAAAUCCAUUUUAAGGUGUCGUCCCCCUCUUCCCCAGAGAAAUGACUAGACAAAACCAGUAAAGCCUCCAGUGCUG